AUGAACGCUGGCGGCGUGCCUAAUACAUGCAAGUCGAGCGAACAGACGAGGAGCUUGCUCCUCUGACGUUAGCGGCGGACGGGGGAGUAACACGUGGAUAACCUACCUAUAAGACUGGGAUAACUUCGGGAAACCGGAGCUAAUACCGGAUAAUAUAUUGAACCGCAUGGUUCAAUAGUGAAAGACGGUUUUACUGUCACUUAUAGAUGGAUCCGCGCCGCAUUAGCUAGUUGGUAAGGUAACGGCUUACCAAGGCAACGAUGCGUAGCCGACCUGAGAGGGUGAUCGGCCACACUGGAACUGAGACACGGUCCAGACUCCUACGGGAGGCAGCAGUAGGGAAUCUUCCGCAAUGGGCGAAAGCCUGACGGAGCAACGCCGCGUGAGUGAUGAAGGUCUUCGGAUCGUAAAACUCUGUUAUUAGGGAAGAACAAAUGUGUAAGUAACUAUGCACGUCUUGACGGUACCUAAUCAGAAAGCCACGGCUAACUACGUG
rnacentral:rRNA from 1 species